ACGAACGCUGGCGGCGUGCCUAAUACAUGCAAGUCGAGCGGAAUGAUGAAGAAGCUUGCUUCUUCUGAUUUUAGCGGCGGACGGGUGAGUAACACGUGGGCAACCUACCUUGUAGAUUGGGAUAACUCCGGGAAACCGGGGCUAAUACCGAAUAAUCCAUUUUGCUUCAUGGCGAGAUGUUGAAAGACGGUUUCGGCUGUCACUACAAGAUGGGCCCGCGGCGCAUUAGCUAGUUGGUAGGGUAAUGGCCUACCAAGGCGACGAUGCGUAGCCGACCUGAGAGGGUGAUCGGCCACACUGGGACUGAGACACGGCCCAGACUCCUACGGGAGGCAGCAGUAGGGAAUCUUCCACAAUGGACGAAAGUCUGAUGAAGCAACGCCGCGUGAGUGAAGAAGGUUUUCGGAUCGUAAAACUCUGUUGUAAGGGAAGAACACGUACGAGAGUAACUGCUCGUACCUUGACGGUACCUUAUUAGAAAGCCACGGCUAACUACGUG
rnacentral:rRNA from 1 species